GCCAGCAAAGUGUCCUAGGAGAGACAAAUGGCGGCAUUCCCAGAUGUAGCUGUCCCUUCAUGCUACUGUAUUAAAAUGCUUUAGACUGGAUGAUUUUAUUAACAACAGAAAUUGACUUCUUCUCACAGUUCUGACAAGUCCAAGGUCAAAGUGUCAGAAGAUUUUGUGUAUGGGGAAGACUUGCUUUCUCCUUCUAACAUGGUGCCAGAUUCACAUAUCCUCUUAUGGUGAAAGGGAAGAAGGAUUGAACUCAUUCUUUCAAGCCACUUCCCCCUUUCCUUCCUUUCUAUCUUUCUUUUUUAUGUACAAGCGAUUGACACCAGCAUAUCACACAUGCUAGACAAAUACUCUACCACUCAGCUACAUCCCCACCCCUUUUUGUUUUAUUUUGACAGAUGAACUCGCUACAUUUACAUAGGCUGGCCUGGCCUUGAACUUGUGAUUCUCUUUCCUCAGUCUCACAGUAGCAAGGAUAUAUAGAGUCAAGGAUUGAACCCAGGGCCUUGUGUGUUCCAGGUGAAUGUUCUACCACUGAGUAAAAUCCGAACCCCAGGAGCAGCAUUCUGUAUGUUAUUGAAGUAAGACUGUUCUUGAUUGACAUCAGAGUAGAAUCAAUUUUGCAUUUCAAAUGGGACCCACAAAGAAAUAGUGAUAAUACAAACCACAAAUAAAAGUGAUGUGAAUUAAAAUAUUUUGUUACAAAAUUCAAAAAUAAAAAAUAAUAUAAAUCAUGAAGAAAAUAGACAAGAAAGCCAUAAAACAUGUAAGAAGCAAAUGACAAAAAAAGCCUUAUCAAGAAUUUCUGUAAGUGACAAUAUAUCGAAAAGUCCAAUGAAAAGACGGGGAGUGGCAGAAUGAAUAGAAAACAGGAUCCAACUUGUCUACAAGAACUAAUGGAGGAAGAGGAUCCAGCAGAAUCUGGGAAGCAUGUUCUAGGCAGAGUGCAUAGCAAGGACAAAAGUCCAAGGCAUAAAUAAACUUAGAGGGAUGGAGGUGCAAGAAUGCCUGAGUGUGUUUCCCCAGUGAUAGAGCAGGAAUGAAUGGAAAGUUAGACAUUGGUCAGGUCAAGGACACACUGGGAAUAGGUAUUCUUAUUUCCAGUUUGCAGAUGAGGAAACUGGGUUCAGGGAAGUUGAGCUAUCCUGCUGAAGUCCUUCUCUCACACUCUGGUUCCAAAGUUCUCACUUCUCAAAACAUUGAACCUGGGUCAGACUUAAUGUGUUGAGUUACCCACCUCCUGGCUAUCCAUUUAAGAUAUGAUUGCAACAGACAUAGAUAUUCAGACAGGCUAAUUAAAUAUAUUUAAAAAUUUAGUCCAGUCCCUCAUCAAGUACAUCAGUAGGCUCCCUGCUCCUGAAAAUAUCUUGGAUCCAUCACCAAACAAUUUUUCUGAAACAUGUAGUCAGAUGGGCAUUUUACUCAACUUAAAUUAGACUUGAGUCUGACCUUUAUAAAAUCUCUCUAUUUCCUAUUUAAGGAAAAAACCAAGGAUCCUCCAUGUUAUGGUUGGGUCUGAGGUAUCCCCCCAAAAGCUCAUGUGUGAAACAAUGUAAAAAGGUUCAGAGGAGAAAAAUGAUCAUGUUGUAUGAAUCUUAACCCAAUCAGUGAUUUAAUUCCUUGAUAGGGAUUAAAUGAGUGGUAACUGAAGUGAUAGGGUGUGGCUGGAAGAUGUGGGAAUUGGGCUGUGUCUUUGGUGUAUAUACUUGUAUCUGGAAAGUGGAGUCUCUUUCUCUGCUUCUUGGUCACCAUGAUGUCAGCUGCAUCUCUCUGCCACACUCUCCUGCCAUGAUGUUCAGCCUCACCUCAAGCCAUGAGAAAUAGAUGGAGCCAACCUUCUAUGGAUUAAGACCUCUGAAACUGUGAGCCCCUGAAUAAACUUUUUCUCCUCUGUGGUUGUUCUGAUCAGAUCCUUUAGUCAUAGAAGUGAAAAAGCUAGUCUGACUAAAACACUCUGGAAUCAGGCUGAACACAACACAGCCAGUAUUAGAGCAACAGGGACACAUAGUGUGUUGGUCACAAAGCAGAUUAGAUGAAGCUGAAGAGAGCAUUAGUGAACUGGAAAAUCAUCCUAAGGAAAUUGCUCCUGAUGCAACAAAGAGAAAAAAGAAAAUGAAAAAAUAGAAGAUAGGCUCUGAAGUCCAAAGUGGUCCAGAAGCCAAUCAUCAUCUGAGUGGUGGGGGCUGGGGAGAGAAAGAAGCAUGUAAGAGAGUAAAACAUGGAGCACUCUCGAAGCCUGGACUAGCUUAUCCUGUUUGAAACAACAUGGUCUUCCUCAGACAUUCUCCAUGUUCAAAGAGCUGAGUCUCCAGAGACUGUGGUAGGGAAAAUAAAGGAAAGAAGAUGGGAAUGUAUGUUAAUUGAAUACUACUAUGUGUCACAUACUGUCCUAUGAUCUAUGUCGUUUAAUCAGUCCAUCAGCUUCAGGGUUGAAAUCUUUGCUUCCAUUCUGUCAUGGAGCAGAGAUUCACCAUGUCUGAUUUGUGUGUCCUUGGUGGUUAACACAUAGAUACGCACAGCAGAGGUGCUAAAUAAAGACUGUUGAAUAUGCAUGAACUCUGAAACUUGCAGAGUUCAGUGUCAGGUCAACAGUGACACAGAUAGUAAGAGGAAGAGAAUGGAUCUGAAUUUAGAAUAAUUUUGUUCAGUUCCUCAACUGAUUUUUCAUAAUGCUAAGCAAUGUCUAUUUGCCUCCUAUUAUGGUUUGGAUGCUAAACAUUCCCCCAAAGCUUAUAUGUUGAAAACUUGGUCCCCAGUGCAGCACUGUUCAGAGGUGGGGCCUUUGGUAGGUGAUGGGGUCAUGAGGGCGGUGACCUCCUAAAUGGAUUAAUGAAUUGAUAAAUUUAUAGCUUAAUCAGCUAUUGGGAAGAUUUUGAAAAUUUAGAAAAUGGGGCCAAUUGGGAGGAAAUAGGUUAUUGGGGGUAUUCCCAUGAAUAUUUUGUCCAUGGCUCCUCCCAAUCCCCACUUUCUGCUUUCUGGCCUCUAUAAGGUGAGCUGUUUUCUGCCACCCCACAUUCCCCACAGCUUUGCCAGAGGCUGAAAUAAAUGAGGCCAAGUGGCCAUGGACUGAGGACUCUGAAAUCAUGAUCCUAAUAAAUCUUUGUUUCUUUUAACUUGCUUUCCUCAGGUGUUUUGCCAUAGCAACAGAAAGUUGACUAACACAGAAAACUACCAUGAACAAUGAGAUCAUUGCCAUGACUAUAGCUAACACAUGGUUUAGAGGUCUUUACAACAAAUUUACAGGAAGAACUUAAAAAAAUUUGGAGAAUAGGCUAGAAAAAAAUAGACCACCACAUGUGGAGCAUAAUACAUGACUCUGAUGGUCAUUAAGAAGGCAAGAGUGCUGGUAGUAAUGUGAGAAUAAAGACUGCUGGUGAAGUUUCUGAGAGAAAUGAUGACUGUUGGAAAUUGAACGAGAUAGAGAUCAUUUUAUAUUCUGGAGAAUAAUUUGUCUAUAUUUUGUCUAUGCCAUGAGACACUGUGUGAGGCUGAGUUUCAAGAUGACAGAAUAGUUAAUCUGGUGGAGGACAUUUCAAGGCAGCAUAGACUUUCAAGCCUGGUAUUCUCAAGUCUUUUUUUUUUUUUUUUAA